ACCGGCGAACGGGUGAGUAACGCGUAUGCAAUCUGCCUUAAACUGGGGAAUAGCUUAGAGAAAUUUAAAUUAAUGCCCCAUAGCACUACUUGAAGGCAUCUCCUUGUAGUUAAAGAUUUAUCGGUUUAAGAUGAGCAUGCGUCCUAUUAGUUAGAUGGUGGGGUAACGGCCCACCAUGACUACGAUAGGUAGGGGUCCUGAGAGGGAGAUCCCCCACACUGGUACUGAGACACGGACCAGACUCCUACGGGAGGCAGCAGUGAGGAAUAUUGGACAAUGGGUGAAAGCCUGAUCCAGCCAUGCCGCGUGCAGGAAGACGGUUCUACGAAUUGUAAACUGCUUUUUUAUGGGAAGAAUAAGCUUUCGUGAAGGCCUAAUGACGGUACCAUAAGAAUAAGGAUCGGCUAACUCCGUGCCAGCAGCCGCGGUAAUACGGAGGGUUCAAGCGUUAUCCGAAAUUAUUGGGUUUAAAGGGUCCGCAGGCGGUUCGGUAAGUCAGUGGUGAAAGUUUGCGGCUUAACCGUAAAAUUGCCAUUGAUACUGCCAAACUUGAGUUAUCUCGAAGUAACUGGAAUGUGUAGUGUAGCGGUGAAAUGCAUAGAUAUUACACAGAACACCAAAAGCGAAGGCAGGUUACUAGGGAUAUACUGA
rnacentral:rRNA from 1 species